CCGGGCCUUGUACACACCGCCCGUCACACCACGAAAGUUGGUUCUACCCGACAUCGGUGAGCUAACCCGCAAGGGAGGCAGCCGCCUACGGUAGGGCUAAUGAUUGGG
rnacentral:rRNA from 1 species